rnacentral:rRNA from 1 species
GACGAACGCUGGCGGCGUGCUUAACACAUGCAAGUCGAACGGAAAGGCCCUGCUUUUGUGGGGUGCUCGAGUGGCGAACGGGUGAGUAACACGUGAGUAACCUGCCCUUGACUUUGGGAUAACUUCAGGAAACUGGGGCUAAUAUCGGAUAGGAGCUCCUGCUGCAUGGUGGUGGUUGGUAAGUUUCGGCGGUUGGGGAUGGACUCGGGGGUUAUCCGCUUGUUGGUGUGGUAGUGGCUUACCAAGGGUUUGACGGGUAGCCGGCCUGAGAGGGUGGCCAGCCACAUGGGGACUAGGAUACGGCCCAGACUCCUACGGGAGGCAGCAGUGGGGAAUAUUGCACAAUGGGCGGAAGCCUGAUGCAGCAACGCCGCGUGCGGGAUGACGGCCUUCGGGUUGUAAACCGCUUUCGCCUGUGACGAAGCGUGAGUGACGGUAAUGGGUAAAGAAGCACCGGCUAACUACGUG